GCCGGUGUAGCUCAGUUUGGUAGAGCGGCUCACUCGUAAUGAGCAGGUCCGGGGUUCGAAUCCCCGCGCCGGCUCCA
rnacentral:tRNA from 2 species